GUGCACAUUUCAUUGUCUUUUUUCUGUUUAUCAAGAGAAAAGAUAUUUCUGAUGUGCUAAAUAAACCUUUGGAGGAAAAUUAGCAGCAUGAUUAAUUUAGUCAUUGCUGUCAGUCACCUUCAAACAAGU
ensembl:snoRNA